rnacentral:rRNA from 1 species
UACGUAGGGGGGCAAGCGUUUGUCCGGAAUUAUUGGGCGUAAAGAGCUCGUAGGCGGCUUGUCACGUCGGGUGUGAAAGCCCGGGGCUUAACCCCGGGUCUGCAUUCGAUACGGGCAGGCUAGAGUGUGGUAGGGGAGAUCGGAAUUCCUGGUGUAGCGGUGAAAUGCGCAGAUAUCAGGAGGAACACCGGUGGCGAAGGCGGAUCUCUGGGCCUGUACUGACGCUGAGGAGCGAAAGCGUGGGGAGCGAACAGG